rnacentral:lncRNA from 1 species
AAAAACAUUAAAAUCCAAUUAAGAUGACAGAUUAACACUUGUUUUAUUAAACAAGAAAUAGAAAAAUCCAAUGACAACAUAACAAAUUUCCAUAGUAUUAUGAUUAAUAAUUAUAAGAAUUGUCCCUGUAUCUUUUCCUUUGGUCAUGUGGCCCAUUAUGUUUUUCGGGUUGUUUGUAACGGAUUGCUGCUUUAAAUUCUGCUAGCUUCCUGUCAUUAUGGUCCUUUAGUUCUCCUAAUUUUUUGUACAUAAUGGAUCUUGCUGUACCCGCACUUUUACUUGUUGUUCCAAUUUUUUCUUUCGCCUCUCUUCUUAUAGUUGUUAUAGUUUCCUUUUUUUCUUCCAGGAAACCGUCUAAUGUUUGAAUUAUUCUGUCCGUGAAAGUAUUUCUUGUCUCUUCCGUGAUGUUCUUCAUUUGAUCCCUAAACAAAUUGUUCAUUUCAACAUUGCCCAGAUCAGGGGUGCAUCUCAUAUUGAGGUGACAGAAGGGGGGCAUAUUAU